rnacentral:misc_RNA from 1 species
GAUGAAGAACGCAGCGAAAUGCGAUACUUGGUGUGAAUUGCAGAAUCCCGUGAACCAUCGAGUCUUUGAACGCAAGUUGCGCCCGAAGCCUCGGCUAAGGGCACGUCUGCCUGGGCGUCACGCAUCGCGUCUCCCCCAAACCGCCAAGGCGGAGGGGAAGGAAGAUGGCUUCCCGUGCCUCACCCGGCGCGGUUGGCCUAAAUUUGGAGCCCGCGGCACUUAGCUCUCGCGGCGAUAGGUGGUGCACAAGGCCUUGGCCGUGCAAACAACCCGCUGCGAAGCUCUAUGUCACGUGCGCUCGUCGGACCCUUUGAAGUUGCCUUCGGUGACUUAAAACCUUUGCGACCCCAGGUCAGGCGGGGCUACCCGCUGAAUUUAAGCAUAUCAAUAAGCGGAGGA